UGGGGGGGAAAAGAAACUAACUAGGAUUUCCUUAGUAGCGGCGAGCGAACAGGAAAUAGCCCAGCACUGAAUCCCGCCGUUGUAACGGCGGCGGGAGAUGUGGUGUUCGGGAGGUUCCGCUUUCUUGUCGUCGUCCACUCCUGUCCAAGUUCGUCUUGAACGGGGCCCAUUUCCCAGAGAGGGUGCCAGGCCCGUAGCGACGGAGGACGGCGGCGAGAGGGACUCUCCUCAGAGUCGGGUUGCUUGAGAGUGCAGCCCUAAGAGGGUGGUAAACUCCAUCUAAGGCUAAAUAUUACCGCGAGACCGAUAGCGAACAAGUACCGUAAGGGAAAGUUG
rnacentral:rRNA from 1 species